UAAUACAGAGGGUGCAAGCGUUAAUCGGAAUUACUGGGCGUAAAGCGUGCGUAGUCGGUUAUCUAAGUCGGAUGUGAAAUCCCCGGGCUCAACCUGGGAAUUGCAUUCGAUACUGGAUAGCUAGAGUUCGGCAGAGGGAAGCGGAAUUUCGGGUGUAGCGGUGAAAUGCGUAGAUAUCCGAAGGAACAUCAGUGGCGAAAGCGGCUUCCUGGACCAGAACUGACGAUCAGGCACGAAAGCGUGGGGAGCAAACAGG
rnacentral:rRNA from 1 species